GAAGAAGAUAGCAAAAGAAACCAACCAGCUUAAAAAAAGUAAAAAACUAAAAUUAUAAAUUUAACAUAAAUUAAUCUAUCUGCCGCCACUUAGAAGUUCAUUUUUCAACUAGAUUCACGUUCACCAAAAAUUAUGAACGAUUCUUUUUAAGUAGUAAACGUAACAUUAAGACAGCGCCACUCUCCUCGUGACCGCGAGUGAAGCACGCUUCUAUCUCUCUUCCUUCUCACUUUUCUUCUUUCAUUCCUUUCCAUGACUCGCCUCAGGCGACUCGGCACCGCCGUCGGAGCCGCUGUUGCCACCGCAUACGGUGGCUCCAUCCUCCUCUCGCCUCCUGUAUCCGUUAGCGACGGGGGAUCGCACCUAGCCGCUGUUCGGGAGAAGAUCCACGAUCCAUUUGCUGCUGUGCCGUCGAGAGAGGUCCAGCGGUCGGCGCUGAUCGGCGCGGGUGCCACAAGUCCUCUGGACGUUCUCGUUAUCGGCGGCGGAGCCACCGGCUCCGGCGUGGCUCUCGAUGCCGUCACUAGAGGACUCCGCGUCGGCCUCGUUGAGAGAGAGGAUUUCUCUUCCGGAACUUCCUCUCGCUCCACCAAGCUCAUUCAUGGAGGUGUUCGUUACCUAGAGAAAGCUGUCUUUAAACUUGACUAUGGCCAGCUAAAGCUAGUAUUCCAUGCACUUGAGGAGCGUAAACAGGUUAUUGACAAUGCACCACACCUAUGCCAAGCUUUGCCUUGCAUGACACCAUGUUUUGACUGGUUUGAAGUACUGUACUACUGGAUUGGCUUGAAAAUGUACGAUUUGGUCGCAGGAGCACGACUCUUACACUUAUCAAGAUACUAUUCGGCUAAGGAGUCUGUUGAACUCUUUCCCACUCUGGCAAAGGAGGGAAAUGGUAGAAGUCUGAGGGGCACAGUUGUUUAUUAUGAUGGACAGAUGAAUGAUGCACGUCUUAAUGUUGGACUGGCUUGCACUGCAGCAUUAGCUGGUGCUGCAGUGCUGAAUCAUGCAGAAGUUGUAUCUUUGCUGAAGGAUGAUGCUGGUGAACGGAUAAUUGGUGCACGAAUUAGGGAUAAUUUAACUGGCAAAGAGUUUGAUACAUAUGCAAAAGUAAUUGUGAAUGCUGCUGGGCCUUUUUGUGAUUCUGUAAGGAAAAUGGCUGACAAAAGCGCACGUGACUUGAUUAGUCCAAGCAGUGGUGUACAUAUAAUACUCCCUGAUUAUUAUUCCCCCGAGGGAAUGGGCUUGAUUGUUCCGAAAACUAAGGAUGGACGUGUUGUUUUCAUGCUACCAUGGUUGGGAAGGACAGUUGCUGGAACUACAGAUUCUAAUACUAGCAUUACCUUUCUUCCUGAACCACAUGAAGACGAAAUACAAUUUAUAUUGGAUGCCAUCUCUGAUUACCUUAAUGUUAAAGUCCGCCGCACUGAUGUUCUUUCUGCCUGGAGUGGCAUUCGUCCAUUAGCCAUGGACCCAUCAGCUAAAAAUACCGAGAGUAUCUCUAGGGAUCAUGUUGUCUUUGAGGAUCACCCUGGUUUGGUCACCAUUACUGGUGGCAAGUGGACUACCUAUAGAAGCAUGGCAGAAGAUGCUGUCAAUGCAGCUAUAAAGUCUGGGAAGUUGACCGCCACCAAUGGAUGUGUCACCAACAAUCUCAGGAUUGUUGGUGGUGAAGGGUGGGAUCCUGCAUCUUUUACCAUUCUUUCUCAACAGUAUGUACGCAUGAAAGUAACAUACAAGGGUAAAGUUGUUCCUGGUGUGAUGGACACUGCUGCAGCAAAGCACUUGUCUCAUGCAUAUGGAACAUUGGCUGAACGUGUUGCUGCCAUUGCUCAGAACGAAAAUUUGGGGAAGCGACUUGCCCAUGGUUACCCUUUUUUGGAGGCUGAGGUGGCCUACUGUGCUCGUCAUGAGUAUUGUGAAUCUGCAAUUGACUUCAUUUCGAGGAGGUCUCGACUAGCUUUCCUUGACACUGAUGCUGCAGGGCGGGCAUUACCUCGUGUCAUUCAAAUAUUGGGAGCUGAGCACAAAUGGGACAAGACAAGGCAAAAACAAGAGUUGCAGAAGGCUAAAGAAUUCUUGGAGACUUUUAAAUCCUCCAAAAAUGCUCAAUUCCAUGAUGGGAAGCAUAAUUAGCUUUGAACUUGGAAUGAGAAGGGAGGAAGUUCCAAAAACAUGGUAUUAUUGCCUAGAGAUUGGGUCAGUAAAAGAUUGCAGCUACUGUAAGUAGCUUGAUACAUCUCAGAAGUCAAUUAUUUCGUGAUUUUGUCAAAGCUGUCUGGCAGAAUGCAUUCAAAUUUGAUGAGUUGUCUGAGCUUGAACUAGCGUUUUUCUCUUGCAAGAAAUGCCAGAGUUGUGACUGUUGGUGUGGAGGAACAUAAUCAAAGUGUCUGGUCAAAAGGUAAACAAAUAGAAUGUUGCAAACCACUUCCUGUUAAGAGAAUCUUUGUUUCAAACAACUCAUUCGGAAAAAUAUUGUCCUGGUCAUUAUUAUGUAUUUGUUUAAACUUUUCUUUGUUGUAAAUAUUUGAGAGAUAUUCUGAAAGUAAGAUGAAAUAUAAAUAUGUUUAACUUCAAAUUAUAUUAGGACCAUUGCUGCAGAAUUGUAUUAAAAAAGAUACAAAUCUUAGUUAAUAGAAUAAACCUGACAUUCUAA